rnacentral:lncRNA from 1 species
AUUAUUGGAUAAUAAAAUCAAAAUUAUUAAAAUUUACAAUAUAAAUAGUAUUUCAAUGCAAUGUAGCCUAAAUUCUACCCUCCAUGCGAUUAUUUUAUGUUCUUUUAAUUGUACUACUCGUCUUUUUAAUGAAGUGCAGUGCAACCACAAAUUGCAAUAAAUAUAUGAGUUAGCAUAAAAGUAAUAAUUUGAUAUAAUACAAUACAAUACAAUAUUAUACAAGUCGCUAAAUGAACCUAUAGAAUAUUUGUGGUCUUUGGCAAGGCACGUUUGGUCACAUUCCAUUGGCGUAGAAUUAAUUAUAAAUUAAUUAGUUGCAGUAUGUUUAAUUAAUCAACUUCGAGCACAUACAAGAAAUAAAAACAAAAAGCUAUGAAAAUUGUCCUCACCUCCCUGUCUCAAAGUUAUUACUAGAAAAGCUUCCCAGUGCCGAAUCAAGCUAAUUAUUAAGACCUUCUAAUUUCGUAUUCAUUGUAUCUUGACAUAAAUUUAUAGCCGUAAAUCAUUUAAUCUCAUCAAAUUCAAAGGUAAAGAAAAUAUAUGGAUUGACAACAUUUAAUGCUAUUUUAUUGAUAAUUUUGAAUCUCUAUCAUUUAAUUUGACAAGAUUAAUAGCUACAAAAUUUUUUAAAAAAUUUAAAUUAAAACUUUAUGUUGGAAAAACACCUAUCUUUUGAUUAACUACAAACUAUUUUAGAUGUCAAAAGAAUAAGUAGUUAGUAAGAGUUUCUAAAAUUAUCUUUGUAGCAUCAAUGAUUUCAUUUUUCAUCAGAUAGUCAAUUUAGCGUUUAAAGAACGGUCAUAAACUUGUUUCUAAAAUCCCUUUUUUUUUGUUGCUAUUUUAUAUUGUAUUUUUACAAUUUUCCAUAUCAUUAGGGGUAAAAUGUUCUUUUACUGUGAAUUUCUUAACAUAUUCUAAGAAAAUGGAAUGGAAAAGUGAAACAAUUGACGAUGCAUAUAUAAUUUCAAAAAUCUUAGAUGAUUAUUUAUACUUUUUAUAUCUAACAAAAGAUUCGCAGAUAAUAUUUGAUUAAAAUGAUUAUAAAUUAAUUAUCCUUAAUUGAAUCUUCAUUUUUGUUUCACUUAAAUCGUCUUUUAUAGUUCCAUACUAGCUGCACAAUUAAUCUCUCAAUAAAUUAACCUAAAAUUACUUGUAAGCUUAAAAUGAAUGACAAUAAAAUGCAUUAUGUGAUACCAAAUGGCAUUACGCAUGUGCUUGACAAGUAAAAUAAUUUAAUUAGAAUAUAUAAGAUUCAACAGAUAGAAUUGUCAAAAUAUUUCGAUAGCAAAAUGAUAUGUUAGAAAAUGUUAAGUGGUAAAAUGAUAAUAUUUAUAUCAUAUAUCAUAUCAUUUAUUGAUGAAAUUUAAAUUAUCAUUUAUGAUGAUUAAAUAAUUUUUAAAACCAGUAAAAAAAAGAGAAAUUGUUAUUAAUUAUUUUGAAUAAAAAUAUAAUUUAAAUAAAUAAAUCAUUUGUCAAAGGCAAAGCAGCCAAAAAUUGAAAUUGUAUGUAUUACACAUAAGCUAAAGGAAAUGUUUUUAAAGGCAAACAAUUUUUUUUAACCAAUAAAAAAAGGAUAAAAAAAUUCCAAAAAUUCUCUUUUAGUUCUUCCACUUUGGUUUACAAAAGCGAUGCAAAUCAUAACAAACUAUAUUGACAAAUCCAUUGACUCAAAUGAACUGUGCCGUUUAAUUGGCAUUAUCUUGAUGAUCGAGGGAAAAAAGAUGAUAGCAAUUGGUUAUAUGUAUCUAAAGGCUUUGAAGUUAGGAAUGGGAAAAGGUUGGGUCGGGUUCGGGCUUGGCCAAGCUCUACUCGACCAGAUCAAAAAAAUUUGAAACCCGACCUUAAAAAAACCCGAACACUGCCCGACCCCGAAUCGGGUCAACAUUGGGUCGGGACCAACCCGACCCUACCCGACCCUACCGAAAUAGUUAAGCCUCAAAUUUCCCACCAUCAUUUCAACGAAUUUAACAAUUCCUCAACCAUUUCAAACACAAUUCAAUUCCACUUUCUACAACCAUUUCAACCCCACACAUAAAUCAAUUCCAAAAUCCAACAUGGAAGACACACAAUGUAAUUCCACAACCAUUUUAGCCAUGCGCAAUUCAAUUUAACAACCCAACAUAAAAAAUAAAAAAUAAAAAACUCAUGUCUUAUACAAAUAAAAACACACAAUUUAGUUCCACAACCCAACAUUAAAAAAAUGUCUUAUACAAAUAAAAAAAUUCAUGUCUUACACAAAUAAAAACUCAUAAAAACACACAAUUUAUUUAUUUUUAAUAGGGUCGGGUCGGCUUUAAGUCCGACCCUGACCCAAAAUUUGUUCGGGCCUUAAAAUUUUGACCCUAGCCUCAAAAUUCGGGUCAAAGCCCUAAAAAUUAGGGUCGAGUUAAUCGGACAAAAAAUAGGGCCAGACUAAAUUGCCAAGCCUAUUUGAAGUGUUUAUGCAAAGCUUCGAUUGAUAAGAUGCUAGUGACUCAAAUACCAAGUUAAUUUUUCCCAAGAGAAAGCCUCUAUACUUACAUUCUUAUUCAAAUAUACUUGAGUAAUUAAAUACAAACCACUCAGGUUUUCACUUUCUUUCUCAUGUGGGAUAAAUACAUUUUUUUUAAAUUUUUUUCAACUCUAUGGAUGUAUUUUGAGUGACAAUUUCUAAUCUAUUAUUUUCAGUAUAUAAAUAUACCAUUUCAAAGUGAUAAUGAAGGAGUAUUUGAAUCACUUAUAAUGUUUCACUUACAUAAAUUAGGUCACACUCAAGAUUACGCCACAAACUAGCCACAGACCAUAAUAUUUUUCCACAUAAAUUGGGCAUUUGAGGACCCUCAAUAAUUGGUUAGAAUGAAAAUUUCAUUUGUUUCUGUAAAUUUGUGAUUCGGCACACAAGAUAAUUUGCUUACUUAAACCAUAGUAUAAAAUUUUAAAACAGUUUUCGCUGACAUCAUUAAGUUAUUGACUAGAUUCUUUAGGCUCGGGAAGUUAUGCCUGUAGGUGCACAAGUAAAAUAUUGCAAGAAUGGAUCCUUAAUAAAACGAAAACUAAACAAUCCACCAAAUUUUGUAAAAUGGGUCCCAACGAAAAUGAAAGAAAUCAGUAAUUAAUUGUUUGAUGAUUGAAUUCGUAAUUCUACAGUUUUAUUUUAAAAAAUUAAGCGGGUGCAAUAGCAUGGUUCCAUUGCAAUUAAUGCUGCUGUUUGGCAUGUUUUGCUUCUGCAAGCAUAGACAUCAUUCUUUGGAAACCAAUUUAAAAUAAAAAAAAGACAUUAUAAUUUACAAAAUUUCUGACUUAAUUAACUUUUAAAUAUUUCUUAAAGUAGGAUGUUUUUGGACAGCGAUGAAUUUGUAUAUAUGACAUUUAGAAUGAAAAAAAAAAAGCCUGAGAAUUUAAAUUUAGAAAUAUUGACGCAAAAAUUUGAAUCAAUGGUUAAAUAUGGUAAAAAUUUGAGUCUGAUUUAAUGCCCAUGUAGAUUAAGAUAUGAAUAUUAUUAUUUUUAUCUAAUAAUAGGUUUGAUCGUCUAAAUUAUUCUUAGAAGAAAAGAUAAAUAGUUAAGGUUGUUGGUGAAUUUAUCUGUGAAAACUCUUCGAUACUCAACUCAUUAACGAAAUUCUUUUAGUAAGCAAGCCCUGGGAUUGCUUGCUUUAAAGCCAAGAAGAAAGUGUGAGGAAGGAUUACUUUGUCAGUUCGUCUCGUGAUUCUGCACCGUAUGCAGACCUAAUUGGUGUUAGGGCUAAUCAACUAUUUUAAUAAUAAGAACAACAUUUUGUUGGACUUAAUUUUCUCUGCUCAAUUAGGCUUUGGAUAAAUGAUCCGUAAUGCGUUAUUCGGUUUAUUGUCAAUUUUUUUUAAGAAGCGUUUUGAUGUCAUUUGGCAAAACAUAUAACAAGAAAUAACUCUGGGCAUGAAUUAUAUGAUCAUCAGAUCCUAUUGUAUUAUAGCAGAAGCAAUAAAAAAAAAUCCUAUUGUAUUACUAUAAUAAUAGCGUUACUCUUUUUUUUUAACACCAAUAUGUAUCUUACAAUAAAAAAUGUACUGAUAUUUAUAAUAAAAAAUUAUUAAAAUUACAUUCAUUAUUAUUAAUGAAAUUUCUAUGUCACCUACGUUCAUGAGAGAAACAUUCACCCCCAUCUAUAUUAUGCAAUGGGUAGCAGUCAAGUUACGUCAACAUAUUGCAUGAUUGUAUUUUAUUUAUAGGCUAUGGCUAUGUCGGAGUAGAUUUAUGGUGGAGCAUGAAUCUCAGCCAUAUACAUAAAGUAAUAAAUAAUUAAAAACUCAUUAUAACUUUAAUAGUGUGGUUAUAAAGAGGUGUUAUAUCUUAGAACAAUUUUAACAUAACCAAACCCUUAUUUAUAUUGUGAGAGUAACAAGCGUCAAGCCAUCCAUUUUAAAGGCAGUACUCUUUGAAUAGAAUUAACGUAUGUACAAUAUUUGUGCCUUCCAUUGGCACAGAAUUAAUUAGUUGCAAUUAAAAUGUUCAAUUAAUCAGCUUCAUGCGCAUGCCAGAAAUAAAGACAAAACAGCUUUAAUUUUUGUCCUCACUUUUGUCUCAAAGUGAUUACCUGUGCCAGCGCAAGCUAAUUAUUAAGACCUGCUAAUUUCUUAUUCAUUGUCUCUUGACAUAAAUUUAUGGCCAUUAAUCAUUUAAUCUCGUCAAAUACGAAGGUAGAGAAGGUAAAUCAGUUGAUAACUUUUAAGGCUGCUUGUGACCUUGAAUCUCUACCAAUGCGCAUGCUGCCUGUUAUACCUGUAAUUACAAAAUAUUAUGAAACCGGUGCAUAAGAAAAUGAAGAAAUUAGUAAUUAAUUAAUUCAAUUAUUCAUUCGAAAUCCUAUUGUUUUAAGUAGCAAGCAUGAUUCCAUUUCAAUUCUGAAGUUUGAUUGCCAGCUCUUGUUUUUGUAAUCAUAUACAUAAUAAAUUAACUGUGUUAUUUUAUUACAUUUUAUUGGUAGGUUAUCAUGGAAUAAUCAUUUUACUGUUGUAAUGUCAGCACACUAACAAAGGUUAAUGGAAAAAUGGUUUGGUGAUACAUUAAAUAAAUUUUAACAUAGGACAAAUGAUAGUUUUUUUUUAAAGAUUAAAUAAUUGUGUAUUUGUUAACUUUCACUAAAAGUUAGGUGGAUCGCUUAUAAUUUUUUUUAUAUUAUUAUUACUACUACUACUAUUACUACUAUUAUUACUAUUAUUGCAAAGAAAUAUAGUGAUUUUGAUAUGUUCUUGUCAGAUUUAGAUUUAGUGCUGAAUUGGCCUUUUUGCUUUUUUUUUUAAAUGUAUGAUUUAUAGUUAUUGAAUAAAAAUAUAAAACUAAUCAAAUCUUAAUUUUAUGUUGCUAUAAAUACAUAUUUGGCAAAAGAUUAUGAGAAUUGGGCACACAUCAACUCAGAAUUGGAUCCAAAUCCGUUCUUGUAUAUGUACUUUGAGCUUUUGUUUUUUUUGUAAUUUCAUGUAUUUAAGUCUCAUGAAAUUGGUAAAAUAUAUUUUUUAAUUUAGUGUCAAAUUAUAAUAUUAAUUGCUACCAUUUCCAAAGCAAACAAACUUAAAAUUUAUCUUUCUAAUAUGGUUAUCCUAUGAUGCCAUAAGUUUUUUUUAGGCAUUAAUAAUGUAAUAAAUGUAUAC